rnacentral:rRNA from 1 species
UGGGGAAUCUUGGACAAUGGGCGCAAGCCUGAUCCAGCCAUGCCGCGUGAGUGAAGAAGGCCUUCGGGUUGUAAAGCUCUUUUACCAGGGACGAUAAUGACGGUACCUGGAGAAUAAGCCCCGGCAAACUUCGUGCCAGCAGCCGCGGUAAUACGAAGGGGGCUAGCGUUGUUCGGAAUUACUGGGCGUAAAGGGCUCGUAGGUGGCCAACUAAGUCACACGUGAAAUCCCUCGGCUUAACCGGGGAACUGCGUCUGAUACUGGAUGGCUUGAGGUUGGGAGAGGGAUGCGGAAUUCCAGGUGUAGCGGUGAAAUGCGUAGAUAUCUGGAGGAACACCGGUGGCGAAGGCGACAUCCUGGACCAAUUCUGACGCUGAGGAGCGAAAGCCAGGGGAGCAAACGGGAUUAGAUACCCGCGUAGUCCCUGAGCGGGCUGGCAAGGCGCAU